rnacentral:rRNA from 1 species
GAUGAACGCUGGCGGCGUGCCUAAUACAUGCAAGUCGAGCGAACAGACGAGGAGCUUGCUCCUCUGACGUUAGCGGCGGACGGGUGAGUAACACGUGGAUAACCUACCUAUAAGACUGGGAUAACUUCGGGAAACCGGAGCUAAUACCGGAUAAUAUAUUGAACCGCAUGGUUCAAUAGUGAAAGACGGUUUUGCUGUCACUUAUAGAUGGAUCCGCGCCGCAUUAGCUAGUUGGUAAGGUAACGGCUUACCAAGGCAACGAUGCGUAGCCGACCUGAGAGGGUGGUCGGCCACACUAGAACUGAGACACGGUCCAGACUCCUACGGGAGGCAGCAGUGGGGAAUCUUCCGCAAAGGGCGAAAGCCUGACGGAGCAACGCCGCGUGAGUGAUGAAGGUCUUCGGAUCGUAAAGCUCUGUUAUUAGGGAAGAACAGAUGUGUAAGUAACUAUGCACGUCUUGACGGUACCUAAUCAGAAAGCCACGGCUAACUACGUG